rnacentral:misc_RNA from 1 species
UAAUAAGUGUUUUAUGGCACUUUUUAAAUCCAUAUCCACCUUGUGUGCAAUGUCAGUCGAUCUUCUUCAUGGAGAUCGACCAAACAUCAACCUUUAUCUUUUAACUCUUUGUCUUAAAAAUAUUAUGAAUAAACAAUACAAAAUA